AGGAAAAUAGUUUAAAAAAAACAUUUGAUUUGCAUUCAAAAAAUAUUAAAAUUUAAUUUUUCUU
rnacentral:tRNA from 1 species